rnacentral:lncRNA from 1 species
ACAGAAGUCAGCUUAACUGAGUAAGAUAUGUUGAGCCACUGACGUCCGAUGACCAUGCAUCACCUCAGUCAGAAAUGAAAAGGAGGCGCUCAGUCCCAGAACCACCCAGCCACAGAGCAGCAAGGACUUGGUAUAUUGUCCCGUUUGAGAGUGGAGGUGGUAGAGGAGGUGGUGGUGGGUGUAUCCUGAAGGGAGUCUAAAAACUGAAGAACACACUAGUAAGCCAGGAGAUGCCUGACAAGAGCUUAUGAUAUGGCAAGACAAUUGCUUACCUGCCUGGCAUUCAAGGAUGCUCUCUGCAUAUGACAUUCCUGCAUCAAUGCUGCCUAUCACUCUGGGUCCCCAUCUAUCACCACCUGUGGCCUACUAACAAUUGCUGAGACAGGAGAGCAGAGGAAGCCUGCAGUGGGGUCAGCAAAGCUGCUGACUUAACUCCAGCAUCCAGACUCCGUAUUUAACUUGAUGAGGAUAAGAACUGUAACUCCGCUAUUGAAGGGCUGAAGCUUCAGCCCAGGGGAACAAUAGGUAAGCA